AGCAGCGUGGCUCAGUGGGAAGAGCACAGGCUUGGGAACCAGAGGUCAUGGGUUCAAAUCCCAGCUCUGCCA
rnacentral:tRNA from 1 species